UCCCCAACAUUAAAUUUAUAUUUUUUAGUGUGACAACACUUUUGUCACUUCCCUUCCGUGCUUGCUCUCCAUUCAACUACUGUGAUGUGAACACUUUUUUGUACGAAUUUAAUUAAAUUCAGUGAAUUGUGCCUACUUCUGGACGUUUCAUUCUCAGCCUUCGCCUCAGAUAACCAGCCCUCACAGCCAUUAGGAACCUUACACCCCAAACCUAACAUUGGUCCUUCGAGUAACCUAACAUUGGUCCUUCGAGUAACCGUGACAUUGGUCCUUCGAAAAGACUGAGGAAAAGGACGAAGAAACGAAGCCAACCGCAGUGUGUGUUACGUGUGCAGUUAAAAAAUCUCGUACGAGUAACUCCUUGAGCAGUUAAACCAUACGCCAAGGACAACCGACGUGAUUCGCCACGUGAAGAAGCGGCGUGAAGUGCCAUAAAUUUACAUUCAGUCAGUGAGCUGCAAGAAAACUUUUUUUUCCAACGGGAGUCAUCCAUUUUAUUUUCUAUUGCGUCAUCAUUUUUACAUUCUACGCAUAGAACAUUUCUACGUGACACGACAUCAAUCAAGCAAGAAGGUAAUCUCGACCAUAAACAUAUGUGGUUUAGGGACGUAAUCAAGAAUUCAAGAGGUCGCGAAAUUCUGCGUGCAUCGUUGAACACCCGCGCUCGCGCCUGCCGCCGACGACUUCCGGCCGACGCCCAAUCGCCAUCUUGUUUCUUCUUCGCGUCGAUUGCUCACCUUGUUUCGUGCCACGUCGUAAUAAAAUAUUUUUUCAGAGACUAAUUAUAAUUAGAUCUAGUAAUAUUUUUAAGAUCUACGUAACUAGUUUUUACAUAUUAUUGUGUUGUGCUAGAAAAAGCUGCGUUACAUCUUGCAAAAUGGAAACGGAUUUGUCAUCAGAAAAACGUGCAUUAGCACUUGAGAACUCAGAGCGGCCUUCUUCACUCCAUGAGAAGCAGACAGCACCGGCGAGGAUGGUAGCUGCAGCAGUGAAGAGCCAGCCUCCAGCUGUGAAGGAUCAGCCUCCAGCUGUGAAGGACCAGCGUCCAGCUGCAGACCCCGUGAUGACCAAGCCGCAACCAUCAUGCUUACUCUGUGUUACUGCAACAUGAGCCUGUCUCCAUCCAGUCGCCUGCACCUUCAGCACCUAAUGCGUCACAGUCUGCACCUACACCAACACUACUCAGCACUCAGUUUGGCCAUGUCAUAGCGGGUAACCUCCCCAGCCUUCCUGCUCACCCCUCAAAGUCAAUCAAGAAGGUGGUAUCAUUGUUUUGUACUACGUGUGAUUCUGAUCUUAACGACACUAUGUCACUAUUCUGGAAGACUGAAGAUGUGCCUCAGGUAUUCACAGAAAAAGUGUCAGAGCACGAAGCAUGUGAGCAAAUGUUUCAAGAGAAUGUACAAUUAACUAACAACCAAUUUGAAGUUGCCUUACCAUUAAAGUUGCCUCUCGACUCUGUCAAUGAUACUCUGGGAGAUUCCUUGUACCUUGCAUUAAAGAGAUUUCAUAAUUUGGAAAAUAGGCUGCAUAAAGAUCCAGUUUUAUUGAAAUUAUAUAAAGAUUUCAUUCAUGAAUAUUUAGAGUUGGGACAUGGAUCUAAAAUUGACAUUGCACAAUAUGAUUUAAAUUCAGAUCCAGUUUAUUUUUUGCCCCACCAUCCUGUAGUAAGAAUGGAUAAGAAAAGUACUAAAUGCAGGGCUGUAUUUGACGCUUCAAUGAAAACAAAUAAAAAAGUGUCACUUAAUAAUUUGCUUUUAAAUGGUCCUGUAGUACAGAAAGAAUUGUUCGACAUUUUAAUUCUAUUUCGAUUCGAACAAUAUGUAUUUGUCACUGAUAUUAAACACAUGUUUAGGGCAGUUAGUCUUAAUGAAAAGUAUCGCCCAUUGCAAAACAUUCUCUGGCGUGACUCGCCAGACAACAAUGUUGAAUGUAUUCAGCUAAAUACCGUUACCUAUGGGCUAAAAAGCUCGUCGUAUUUAGCCACUCGUUGCUUAAUAGAAUUAGCUGAUCGAUAUGCAGAGGAUUUUCCAUUAGCAUCAUCCAUUCUAAAGAAUCAAACUUAUGUAGAUGACAUUUUAGCUACCAAUGAUUCCUUAGACGCAUUGAUAGAGUCGAAAGAGCAACUUUGCAAGCUUCUGGACCUGGGAGGCUUCCAGCUACAUAAGUGGUCUUCUAAUAGAGUUGAGGCUUUGCACGACAUACCGACAGACAAACAGUAUUUCGACUCUAUUGACUUAGAAAAAACUAAUUUAUGUAUGAAAACGUUAGGUGUUAAUUAUGACAUUAAGUCUGAUACACUAACCCUUUCUGCGCCUAAUACAGGCACUAAUAUACCUGACACUAAGCGGGAAGUGCUCAGCUUUAUAAGUAAGUUCUUUGAUCCGCUAGGCUUGGCGGGCCCGCUCGUUGUAAGUGCUAAGGUCAUUAUGCAAAAGCUUUGGGAAGCACGUCUUGAAUGGGACUCCAUACUUAACGAUGAUUUAAGAAAGCUAUGGCGUGAGUUUUAUGAAAGUCUUUCAAUUAUGGCUCCCAUGAGUUUCAAUCGUUAUGUCUGCUUACAAAAUGCAACAUGUCUGCAACUGAUAGGUUUCGCCGAUGCCUCGAGUUCCGCUGCUUACGGCUGCUGUGUGUAUCUGCGUGUGGUUGACUCAACAGGUAAUGUGAAUGUUUCUUUACUCUGUUCGAAGUCUCGCGUCAACCCCAUCAAACAGAGUCUCACCGUGCCGCGACUGGAGCUCAAUGCCGCACUGCUGCUUGCGAAGCUUAUCACCAGAGUGCAUGAUACACUCUCAUUAAAAAAGACCAUUAACAAUGUUGUAUUAUACUCCGACUCACAGAUUGUUCUGGCUUGGAUACAGACUAAUGCUGCUAAAUUAAAUACUUAUGUAGCAAACAGGGUAAAGGAGAUCUCCCAGCUCACCAGUAAGUAUACAUGGGCAUAUGUAAACACGCACGAGAAUCCUGCCGACUGCCUGAGCCGAGGCGUCCUACCCCAUGAGCUCGAGAGCAACCAGUUGUGGUGGACAGCACCUUUAUUCCUCCAUGACAGUAAGUAUGUUGCUCCCCAACAAGAGCAGUACACGGCCGACGGUCUACCCGAGGUGAGAAGGAGCUCUGAGUUCUCUAGUGCAAUGGUUUGUACUCUCUCUGAUAAGGCAGACAUAAACCUUGAUUUUCUUGAUAAAUAUUCAGAUAUAAAUAGAAUGCAAAGGGUUCUUGCUUACAUUUUACGUUUCUGUAGUAACACACGCACAAAAACUGAUAAAAUAAAACAUAAUUUCAUAUCUAGUUCUGAAUUAAAUAGCUCAUUAAAUUUAAUAUUAAGAUAUGAACAACAAAAGUUUAUGAAAGAGGAAUUAUAUUCUUUAAAAUGUAAUAAUACUGUAAAGGGUAAUAUUAAGGCCUUGUAUCCAUUCAUUGAUGACAGUGGUUUAAUAAGGGUAGGUGGCCGAUUGCAUAACGCCAAUAUUCCUUAUUCUCAAAAACACCCCAUUGUCCUGCCUAAAGGUUCCCGAGUAACAGAGUUAAUUAUUAGAAGCGAGCAUGAGAAAAACCUUCACGCGGGACAACGACUUGUUCUUUCAUCAAUGAAUCAAAAAUACUGGCUGCUUAACGGUAUUCGUGAAAUCAAAAAGGUCAUACACAAGUGUAUUGUAUGUUGGAAAUUAAAAAAGAAUGUAUCUCAACAACUGAUGGGUUCUUUACCACAUGACAGAGUGAAUGCAUGUCGUCCAUUUCAGAAAAUCGGUAUUGACUUUGCUGGCCCGAUAAGCGUCAAACAAUCAACGAUACGUCGGUCUGUCGUAUCAACAGGCUAUAUUUGUGUCAUAGUCUGCUUCGUUACAAAAGCAGUACACUUAGAAUUGCUCUCUGAUAUAAAAACAGAAUCAUUUCUUGCCUGUUUUGACCGCUUCAUUUCCCGUCGAGGCCUUCCUACAGACGUAUACUGUGACAAUGCAUCCACUUUUAAAUGUGCAAAAACCAAACUUGAUGACUUUUAUAAGUUACAGACUUCCAAAGCCCACCAAUCACAGGUACAAGGAUAUGCAUCUCAAAAAGGCAUACAUUUUCAUUUUAUUCCUUGCUAUUCACCCAUUUUUGGUGGUCUUUGGGAAGCUGGUGUUAAAAGUGUGAAACACCACAUGAAAAGAGUCGUUCAGAAGGCAUUGUUAACCUAUGAACAGUUACAUACUGUACUAUGUAAAAUUGAAGCUAUUCUAAACAGCAGGCCUUUAAUUCCGUUAUCAAAUGAUGUUAAUGACUAUUCUUAUUUAACACCAGGCCACUUCCUGAUUGGAACAGCUUUAAAUUCCUAUCCAGAGCAAGAUGUAACAGACAUACCUCAGAACAGACUCAAGUUCUGGAGAAUAUGUACUAGUAUGCAACAAUGUUUCUGGAAAGUUUGGAAUAGACAUUAUUUGAAUAUUUUACAAUCACGUCCAAAGUGGACAGACGUAAUGCCUAAUAUAGAAGUAGGUUCUCUUGUAAUACUCAGUGAAAGCAAUUCACCCCCUUUGUAUUGGCCUAUGGCAAGGGUGACUAAGUUGUUUCCUGGCUCUGAUAAUAUUGUUCGUGCGGUAGAAGUUAAAACAGCUAAUGGGAAUACCCAUACGAGAUCUAUAACUCGCGUAUGUGUAUUACCAAUUAAAUAAAGUCCAUAAUGUAACUUAUUUAAUCAUUAUACAAUUUACUUUCUUAUUUACAAUGUAGACAUUUUUCCUUGUAGUAUACACAUUAUUAUACCUUGUUUUCUAAAGUGUUAGGCUGGGUAAUGUAUACCAUUUUCGUGCUCCCGAGGUGCAGGCGUACUCGCUGCGUUAUGUCUUUUUAAUUAAUAAUAAUUAGUAUGUACUGUCAAGUGCAGAUGUCAGUAGGUACUACAUAUAUUUUUCUUUUAUUGGAAACAUGUUUAUGUUUAAUAUCUAAGUGUAGACGUUCCUGCAUUUCUAUUUACUAGAUAUUAAGUUUAUUAAGCCACCUAUUGUAGGUAUGUUAUGAUAAGGACAUUAUGUUAUGUUUAUUAAGUCAAUUUGGACAUAUUCCUUCUAUUUUGUAAUGAGUAUGUGUAAAGUUUUCUUUAGUGCAUGACUGUGUCAAAUUGAUCCUUUUCUUUUGUGAUGAUUAGGUGUAAAAGUUUUUAAAUAGUUAAGUAACUAAAGUUUAACUAGGACAAUGUUGUAUGUUAUGUCAAUAGGUACAUCCAUACUUACUGAUAAUUAUUUUUUGUAUCUUACAUGCUUGAAUGCUGUCAUUUAACAUUUUCUUUAAAAAAUGUAAUCUUAUGUUUUACAAAUGUACAACUUCUUUGUCAUAAUAACCAUUUGUAGGCAUAAAUGUUACUAGAUUUUCUUUUAUAUCGUUUUAUAUGCGACCACAAACAUUAUCAAGUUAAUAAAUUAACAUUCUAAAUUUCAUUCAUAAAAUGUUUAGUUUGUUUGAUAGAUUUGUGUUUGUUCAAAGCCACUAGCGUUUGUCACUAUAAUAUUGUUAUGUAAAGUAAUUUAUAGUCAAUAACAAACCUGUUUUUAAUAUGCUAGCUUUUGCUUUGCCAUAAAGUUUAGUUUGGCUUUGAAUUGUUUGUAUAAUGUUUAAAGUCAUUAGAAUUUUGGUUUUUUGUACUAAUUGUUUUGUAUAAAAGUACUUUGCUCGUAACUAAAGCUUUCUUUUGUGGCCGCAGCAUGUUGGCAUCCCCAACAUUAAAUUUAUAUUUUUUAGUGUGACAACACUUUUGUCACUUCCCUUCCGUGCUUGCUCUCCAUUCAACUACUGUGAUGUGAACACUUUUUUGUACGAAUUUAAUUAAAUUCAGUGAAUUGUGCCUACU
rnacentral:misc_RNA from 1 species